UACGUAGGGUCCGAGCGUUGUCCGGAAUCAUUGGGCGUAAAGCGCGUGUAGGCGGCCCGGUAAGUCCGCUGUGAAAGUCCAGGGCUCAACCCUGGGAUGCCGGUGGAUACUGUCGGGCUCGAGUCCGGAAGAGGCGAGUGGAAUUCCUGGUGUAGCGGUGGAAUGCGCAGAUAUCAGGAGGAACACCGAUGGCGAAGGCAGCUCGCUGGGACGGUACUGACGCUGAGGCGCGAAAGCGUGGGGAGCGAACAGG
rnacentral:rRNA from 1 species